AUUCCAGAUGGUAGAAAUGGG
rnacentral:siRNA from 1 species